GAUGAAGAACGCAGCGAAAUGCGAUAAGUAGUGUGAAUUGCAGAAUUCAGUGAAUCAUCGAAUCUUUGAACACACAUUGCGCCCUUUGGUAUUCCAAAGGGCAUGCCUGUUCGAGCGUCAUUUGUACCCUCAAGCUUUGCUUGGUGUUGGGCGUCUUGUCUCUAGCUUUGCUGGAGACUCGCCUUAAAGUAAUUGGCAGCCGGCCUACUGGUUUCGGAGCGCAGCACAAGUCGCACUCUCUAUCAGCAAAGGUCUAGCAUCCAUUAAGCCUUUUUUUCAACUUUUGACCUCGGAUCAGGUAGGGAUACCCGCUGAACUUAAGCAUAUCAAUAAGCGGAGGA
rnacentral:misc_RNA from 1 species